rnacentral:rRNA from 1 species
AAUAGAUACCCGGGUAGUCCACGCCGUAAACGGUGGGCACUAGGUGUGGGCGACAUUCCACGUCGUCCGUGCCGCAGCUAACGCAUUAAGUGCCCCGCCUGGGGAGUACGGCCGCAAGGCUAAAACUCAAAGGAAUUGACGGGGGGCCCGCACAAGCAGCGGAGCGUGUGGUUUAAUUCGACGCAACACGAAGAACCUUACCCAGAUUUGACAUGGAACUGCAAGUCGCGGAAACGCGGCUGCCUUCGAGGGUGUUCCACCGGUGCUGCAUGGCUGUCGUCAGCUCGUGUCGUGAGAUGUUGGGUUAAGUCCCGCAACGAGCGCAACCCUUGCCCGAUGUUACACGUGUCAUCGGGGACUGCCGUGGUCUGACCACGGAGGAAGGUGGGGAUGAUGUCAAGUCCGCAUGGCCCUUACGUCUGGGGCAACACACACGCUACAAUGGUCGGAGGAAAGCGACGCCACCUGGCAACAGGGCGCAAAUCGCCAAGCCCGAUCUCAGUGCAGAUUGGGGGCUGCAACUCGCCCCC